rnacentral:pre_miRNA from 1 species
GAGGGAGCUGUAGAGCAGGGAGCAGGAAGCUGUGUGUGUCCAGCCCUGACCUGUCCUGUUCUGCCCCCAGCCCCUC